UCAUGUCUGAAUAUGGCUAAAGGAGUGACUUGGCUUUUCUAGGGUCCAGUUCUUUAAGUACUAAAUAAGAGCAACAUAGGGGACAACUAGAUAGCCAACCACGUAACUUGGUGACUCAGAAGUUCUUGUGUCUAUGCUUCAUGGAUGGGAAUAGCCCUAAGAUGGGCACACCAGGAAGGCUUGUGGGAUGAGUGGAGUGAGCAAGCAUCAAAGCAGGGACACGGGAUCGUCAUGAAAGAGGGGAUGCCUGCACAUCAUGGAUAAGGGUCUCCGUGUUCAGAGCUAGCAUCAUGGCGGAGGAACCUCAGCUUCUUCAUGGUGCUUCCAGCAGGUUGGGUUACUUCCAUGUACAGAGAGGAAGGGAACACCCCAAUGCAUGAGCUCACUUCCAGGCUCUCUGUCAUGUGUGCCAAUGUUCCAUCACCUAAAGUAAAUGGCACGGCCAAGCUCGGAUAUGAUGGGGAGAGAAGUUAAGAGAUCUUUUGAUGAAACUGAAGGGAGGGGUUGCAUGUGCGCAUGUGCACAACAUCGCUUUCUGUUAUCACUCUUCAUCCUGCUCCAACCCCUGCAGGACGAGAGGAAUUAC
rnacentral:lncRNA from 1 species